CAGUCGCCGCGGUAAUACGUAGGGUGCAAGCGUUAAUCGGAAUUACUGGGCGUAAAGCGUGCGCAGGCGGUCCGCUAAGACAGAUGUGAAAUCCCCGGGCUUAACCUGGGAACUGCAUUUGUGACUGGCGGGCUAGAGUAUGGCAGAGGGGGGUAGAAUUCCACGUGUAGCAGUGAAAUGCGUAGAGAUGUGGAGGAAUACCGAUGGCGAAGGCAGCCCCCUGGGCCAAUACUGACGCUCAUGCACGAAAGCGUGGGGAGCAAACAGGAUUAGAUACCCGCGUAGUCCCUGUCUCUUAUAC
rnacentral:rRNA from 1 species